rnacentral:rRNA from 1 species
AGUGGCGCAAGGGUGAGUAAGGCGAAGGUAACCAACCCCAUGACUGGGUAUAGCCGUGGGAAACCGCGGGUAAUCCCCAGCGACGUCUCGAGGGGGCAUCCCCUCGAGACCAAAGCUCCGGCGUCAUGGGACGGGCCUUCGUGGUAUUAGCUAGUUGGCGGGGUGACGGCCCACCAAGGCGAUGAUGCCUACCGGGCGUGCGAGCGUGGCCCGGCACACUGGGACUGAGACACUGCCCAGACUCCUACGGGAGGCUGCAGUCGAGAAUCUUCGGCAAUGGGCGCAAGCCUGACCGAGCGACGCCGCGUGGAGGACGAAGGCCUUCGGGUUGUAAACUCCUGUCGAGGGGGAAGAAGGUCCGCAAGGGCUUGACUGAUCCCUGGAGGAAGCACGGGCUAAGUUCGUGCCAGCAGCCGCGGUAAGACGAACCGUGCGAACGUUAUUCGGAAUCACUGGGCUUAAAGCGCGUGUAGGCGGAACGACACGUCGGUCGCUGAAAGCCCCCGGCUCAACCGGGGAACGGGCGCCGAUACGAUCGUUCUCGAGGGACGUAGGGGGACCUGGAACUUCCGGUGGAGCGGUGAAAUGCGUUGAGAUCGGAAGGAACGCCCGUGGCGAAAGCGAGGUCCUGGACGUUUUCUGACGCUGAGACGCGAAAGCCAGGGGAGCGAACGGGAUUAGAUACCCCGGUAGUCCUGGC